rnacentral:tRNA from 1 species
GGGGUCGUGGUCUAGACAGGUAUGACGUUGGGCUCCAGACCCAAAUGCCGGGGGUUCAAAUCCUCCCGACCCCACCA